UAAAAAAGAAAAAAAAAACUAUUUUCUCUCCCUUCUUCUUUUUCCUCCCCAACGUGAAGACCUUCUCUAUGUGCCCUAGCAGCCGCUGGCCAUCUCCUCUCCAACCGGCAUCGCACGUCUGACCGCCAUCAGUUCGUCGGUCAUUCGUCCGUGGGCCGUCGUUCGCACAGGUCAGCUCAACCUCAUCAGCAAGUAACGAUCGUCCAGAUAUUCUUCGUCGCGCGCCAAUCUCGCCCAGCCAGUCAGAUUCGCAUCCGCAAGUUGCCGUCAAUCGUUUGGCUGCUUCGUUCAUGGGCCGUCGUGCAAUCAGCCAAGAUCUGAAUCCGAAUGACCCAGCCCAGCCGUCGAAACUUCUGCCGUGAGCCAUUCCUCCGUCCAGUCAUCUGAUCUGUGCGACCCACCGCCGAAUCCAGCUGACCGCCUCCCUCGUGUCGCGCGAUGCCACUCACCGUUCGUAGGGUGCAGUCGCGCCACCAUGAGUCACCUAGCCUCGUCAGCUGCCAGAUCUGAGUCGAAGCUCCCCCAGACACACCGUCCAGCCUUCAAUCGCUGCCACCGCUCUAGCUUUUGACCACCGUCCAUCGCCGCGUCGGACUCUUAGAUUUUGAUUUGAGCUUGGGAAAUUACAGCAGCGAUUGUCCAGCGGAUUCAAGAUCAUUCGAUAAGAGUUUUGGUAAGGGUAGAGAUGCAUCGACGAUGGCGUAAGGGUAGAGAUGCAUCGACGAUGGCGUAGCGGAAUUCGUGAUUGUGUCACUGGACUAGUUUUUACGCUUCCGCAUCAUGAGAUUUAGAGUUCUUUUCAUGUUUCUCUUAAUGUUUAGUUUUGAUGUUUGAAACUUAUUUAUUAAGAAUUUUUUUUCAUAUGUAUUUAUUAACCUUUA